UACGUAGGGAGCAAGCGUUGUCCGGAAUCAUUGGGCGUAAAGCGCGCGUAGGCGGCCUCGUAAGUCCGCUGUGAAAGUCAAAGGCUCAACCUUUGAAAGCCGGUGGAUACUGUGAGGCUAGAGUACGGAAGAGGCGAGUGGAAUUCCUGGUGUAGCGGUGGAAUGCGCAGAUAUCAGGAGGAACACCAAUAGCGAAGGCAGCUCGCUGGGACGUUACUGACGCUGAGGCGCGAAAGCGUGGGGAGCGAACAGG
rnacentral:rRNA from 1 species